rnacentral:rRNA from 1 species
GUUCGAUCAUGGCUCAGAUUGAACGCUAGCGGGAUGCCUUACUACGGCCGAACGGCAGCACGGACUUCGGUCUGGUGGCGAGUGGCGAACGGGUGAGUAAUGUAUCGGAACGCCUAGUAGCGGGGGAUAACUACGCGAAAGCAUAGCUAAUACCGCAUACGCCACCCUUCGGGGGAAAGCGGGGACCUUCGGGCCUCGCAAUUAGGGCGGCCGAUAUCGGAUUAGCUAGUUGGUGGGGUAACGGCUCACCAAGGCGAUGACCGUAGCUGGCUUGAGAGGACGACCAGCCACACUGGGACUGAGACACGGCCCAGACUCCACGGGAGGCAGCAGUGGGGAAUUUUGGACAAUGGGGGAAACCCUGAUCCAGCCAUCCCGCGUGUGCGAUGAAGGCCUUCAAGUUGUAAAGCACUUUUGGCAGGAAAGAAACGGCACGGGAUAAUACCCCGUGCAACUGACGGUACCUGCAGAAUAAGCACCGGCUAACUACGUGCCAGCAGCCGCGUAAUACGUAGGGUGCAAGCGUUAAUCGGAAUUACUGGGCGUAAGCGUGCGCAGGCGGUUCGAAAAGAAAGAUGUGGAAUCCCAGAGCUUAACUUUGGAACUGCAUUUUUAACUACCGAGCUAGAGUGUAAUGAGGGAGGUGGAAUUCCGCGUGUAGCAGUGAAAUGCGUAGAUAUGCGGAGGAACACCGAUGGCGAAGGCAGCCUCCCGGGAUAACACCGAUGCUCAUGCACGAAAGCGUGGGGAGCAAAUGGAUUAGAUACCUCUGGUAGUCCACGCCCUAAACGAUGUCAACUAGUUGUUAGCCUCGGGCCUUGGUAGCGCAGCUAACGCGUGAAGUUGACCGCCUGUGAGUACGGUCGCAAGAUUAAAACUCAAAGGAAUUGAUUGGGACCCGCACAAGCGGUGGAUGAUGUGGAUUAAUUCGAGCAACGCGAAAAACCCAUCACCUCUUGACAUGUUCAAAUCCUGAAGAGAUUUGGGAGUGCUCGCAAGAGAACCGGAACACAGGUGCUGCAUGGCUGUCGUCAGCUCGUGUCGAGAUGCUGUAGUUAAGUCCCGCAACGAGCGCAACCCUUGUCAUUAGUUGCUGAGCGAAAGGGCACUCUAAUGAGACUGCCGGUGACAAACCGAGGAAGGUGGGGAUGACGUCGUCCUCAUAUCUUUAUGGGCAGGGCUUGCCAUCGUCAUACAAUGGUCGGGACAGAGGGUCGCCAACCCGCGAGGGAGCCAAUCCCAGAAACCCGAUCGUAGUCCGGAUCGCAGUCUGUAACUCGACUGCGUAGUCGAAUCGCUAGUAAUCGCGGAUCAGCAUGUCGCGGGUGAAUAUGCUCCGGGUCUUGUACACACCGCCCGUCACACCAUGGGAGUGGCUUUACCAGAAGUAGUUAGCUCAACUGCAAGGAGGGCGAUUACCAUGUAGAUUCAUGGAUCAGUGAAGUCGUAACGCGUA